AGGAUGGGCCCGUUCACGGGCGGGCCCCGCACUCCCGGGGCGUCUCGUUCUCAUCGCGAGAAGAGGCGCACCAUGAGCGUACACGCUGGGACCCGAAAGAUGGUGAACUAUGCCUGGUCAGGACGAAGUCAGGGGAAACCCUGAUGGAGGUCCGUAGCGAUUCUGACGUGCAAAUCGAUCGUCGGAACUGGGUAUAGGGGCGAAAGACUAAUCGAACCUUCUAGUACGUGGUUCCUUCCGA
rnacentral:rRNA from 1 species